rnacentral:rRNA from 1 species
UUAAGCGACUAAGCGUACACGGUGGAUGCCCUGGCAGUCAGAGGCGAUGAAGGACGUGCUAAUCUGCGAUAAGCGUCGGUAAGGUGAUAUGAACCGUUAUAACCGGCGAUUUCCGAAUGGGGAAACCCAGUGUGAUUCGUCACACUAUCAUUAACUGAAUCCAUAGGUUAAUGAGGCGAACCGGGGGAACUGAAACAUCUAAGUACCCCGAGGAAAAGAAAUCAACCGAGAUUCCCCAGUAGCGGCGAGCGAACGGGGAGGAGCCCAGAGCCUGAAUCAGUGUGUGUGUUAGUGGAAGCGUCUGGAAAGGCGCGCGAUACAGGGUGACAGCCCCGUACACAAAAAUGCACAUGCUGUGAGCUCGAUGAGUAGGGCGGGACACGUGGUAUCCUGUCUGAAUAUGGGGGGACCAUCCUCCAAGGCUAAAUACUCCUGACUGACCGAUAGUGAACCAGUACCGUGAGGGAAAGGCGAAAAGAACCCCGGCGAGGGGAGUGAAAAAGAACCUGAAACCGUGUACGUACAAGCAGUGGGAGCCUCUUUAUGGGGUGACUGCGUACCUUUUGUAUAAUGGGUCAGCGACUUAUAUUCUGUAGCAAGGUUAACCGAAUAGGGGAGCCGAAGGGAAACCGAGUCUUAACUGGGCGUUAAGUUGCAGGGUAUAGACCCGAAACCCGGUGAUCUAGCCAUGGGCAGGUUGAAGGUUGGGUAACACUAACUGGAGGACCGAACCGACUAAUGUUGAAAAAUUAGCGGAUGACUUGUGGCUGGGGGUGAAAGGCCAAUCAAACCGGGAGAUAGCUGGUUCUCCCCGAAAGCUAUUUAGGUAGCGCCUCGUGAACUCAUCUCCGGGGGUAGAGCACUGUUUCGGCAAGGGGGUCAUCCCGACUUACCAACCCGAUGCAAACUGCGAAUACCGGAGAAUGUUAUCACGGGAGACACACGGCGGGUGCUAACGUCCGUCGUGAAGAGGGAAACAACCCAGACCGCCAGCUAAGGUCCCAAAGUCAUGGUUAAGUGGGAAACGAUGUGGGAAGGCCCAGACAGCCAGGAUGUUGGCUUAGAAGCAGCCAUCAUUUAAAGAAAGCGUAAUAGCUCACUGGUCGAGUCGGCCUGCGCGGAAGAUGUAACGGGGCUAAACCAUGCACCGAAGCUGCGGCAGCGACGCUUAUGCGUUGUUGGGUAGGGGAGCGUUCUGUAAGCCUGCGAAGGUGUACUGUGAGGUAUGCUGGAGGUAUCAGAAGUGCGAAUGCUGACAUAAGUAACGAUAAAGCGGGUGAAAAGCCCGCUCGCCGGAAGACCAAGGGUUCCUGUCCAACGUUAAUCGGGGCAGGGUGAGUCGACCCCUAAGGCGAGGCCGAAAGGCGUAGUCGAUGGGAAACAGGUUAAUAUUCCUGUACUUGGUGUUACUGCGAAGGGGGGACGGAGAAGGCUAUGUUGGCCGGGCGACGGUUGUCCCGGUUUAAGCGUGUAGGCUGGUUUUCCAGGCAAAUCCGGAAAAUCAAGGCUGAGGCGUGAUGACGAGGCACUACGGUGCUGAAGCAACAAAUGCCCUGCUUCCAGGAAAAGCCUCUAAGCAUCAGGUAACAUCAAAUCGUACCCCAAACCGACACAGGUGGUCAGGUAGAGAAUACCAAGGCGCUUGAGAGAACUCGGGUGAAGGAACUAGGCAAAAUGGUGCCGUAACUUCGGGAGAAGGCACGCUGAUACGUAGGUGAAGUCCCUUGCGGAUGGAGCUGAAAUCAGUCGAAGAUACCAGCUGGCUGCAACUGUUUAUUAAAAACACAGCACUGUGCAAACACGAAAGUGGACGUAUACGGUGUGACGCCUGCCCGGUGCCGGAAGGUUAAUUGAUGGGGUUAGCGGUAACGCGAAGCUCUUGAUCGAAGCCCCGGUAAACGGCGGCCGUAACUAUAACGGUCCUAAGGUAGCGAAAUUCCUUGUCGGGUAAGUUCCGACCUGCACGAAUGGCGUAAUGAUGGCCAGGCUGUCUCCACCCGAGACUCAGUGAAAUUGAACUCGCUGUGAAGAUGCAGUGUACCCGCGGCAAGACGGAAAGACCCCGUGAACCUUUACUAUAGCUUGACACUGAACAUUGAGCCUUGAUGUGUAGGAUAGGUGGGAGGCUUUGAAGUGUGGACGCCAGUCUGCAUGGAGCCGACCUUGAAAUACCACCCUUUAAUGUUUGAUGUUCUAACGUUGGCCCCUAAUCGGGGUUGCGGACAGUGUCUGGUGGGUAGUUUGACUGGGGCGGUCUCCUCCUAAAGAGUAACGGAGGAGCACGAAGGUUGGCUAAUCCUGGUCGGACAUCAGGAGGUUAGUGCAAUGGCAUAAGCCAGCUUGACUGCGAGCGUGACGGCGCGAGCAGGUGCGAAAGCAGGUCAUAGUGAUCCGGUGGUUCUGAAUGGAAGGGCCAUCGCUCAACGGAUAAAAGGUACUCCGGGGAUAACAGGCUGAUACCGCCCAAGAGUUCAUAUCGACGGCGGUGUUUGGCACCUCGAUGUCGGCUCAUCACAUCCUGGGGCUGAAGUAGGUCCCAAGGGUAUGGCUGUUCGCCAUUUAAAGUGGUACGCGAGCUGGGUUUAGAACGUCGUGAGACAGUUCGGUCCCUAUCUGCCGUGGGCGCUGGAGAACUGAGGGGGGCUGCUCCUAGUACGAGAGGACCGGAGUGGACGCAUCACUGGUGUUCGGGUUGUCAUGCCAAUGGCACUGCCCGGUAGCUAAAUGCGGAAGAGAUAAGUGCUGAAAGCAUCUAAGCACGAAACUUGCCCCGAGAUGAGUUCUCCCUGACUCCUUGAGAGUCCUGAAGGAACGUUGAAGACGACGACGUUGAUAGGCCGGGUGUGUAAGCGCAGCGAUGCGUUGAGCUAACCGGUACUAAUGAACCGUGAGGCUUAACCU